GUACAAUUUUGAUUAGUGGAAAGUUCAUAAUCCCAAUUAAUUAAUUAAACCAAGUCACAUUAUCUCUCAUAUGACUGAAGGAAAGAAAAAAAAAUCUAAAACGUGUUCUUUCUUUCUCCUAGGUUAAAACGAUUGAUUCUACAAUGGCUAGCUACAGUCCUAAAAGAAUGCCCUUUCAUGAUGAAUCAUCUGUUUCACAUAACAGUGCCUCUGCAAUUACCUGCGCAGAAUCAUCACUGACAACAGAUAUGGCCAUCAUGGUGCAAACAAAGAAAAUAAUGGACGG
ensembl:lncRNA